rnacentral:rRNA from 1 species
UCCUACGGGAGGCAGCAGUGGGGAAUUUUGGACAAUGGGCGAAAGCCUGAUCCAGCAAUGCCGCGUGUGUGAAGAAGGCCUUCGGGUUGUAAAGCACUUUUGUCCGGAAAGAAAUCCUUGGCUCUAAUACAGUCGGGGGAUGACGGUACCGGAAGAAUAAGCACCGGCUAACUACGUGCCAGCAGCCGCGGUAAUACGUAGGGUGCGAGCGUUAAUCGGAAUUACUGGGCGUAAAGCGUGCGCAGGCGGUUUGCUAAGACCGAUGUGAAAUCCCCGGGCUCAACCUGGGAACUGCAUUGGUGACUGGCAGGCUAGAGUAUGGCAGAGGGGGGUAGAAUUCCACGUGUAGCAGUGAAAUGCGUAGAGAUGUGGAGGAAUACCGACGGCGAAGGCAGCCCCCUGGGCCAAUACUGACGCUCAUGCACGAAAGCGUGGGGAGCAAACAGGAUUAGAUGCCCUGGUAGUCCACGCCCUAAACGAUGUCAACUAGUUGUUGGGGAUUCACUUCCUUAGUAACGUAGCUAACGCGUGAAGUUGACCGCCUGGGGAGUACGGUCGCAAGAUUAAAACUCAAAGGAAUUGACGGGGACCCGCACAAGCGGUGGAUGAUGUGGAUUAAUUCGAUGCAACGCGAAAAACCUUACCUACCCUUGACAUGGUCGGAAUCCCGCUGAGAGGUGGGAGUGCUCGAAAGAGAACCGGCGCACAGGUGCUGCAUGGCUGUCGUCAGCUCGUGUCGUGAGAUGUUGGGUUAAGUCCCGCAACGAGCGCAACCCUUGUCCUUAGUUGCUACGCAAGAGCACUCUAAGGAGACUGCCGGUGACAAACCGGAGGAAGGUGGGGAUGACGUCAAGUCCUCAUGGCCCUUAUGGGUAGGGCUUCACACGUCAUACAAUGGUCGGAACAGAGGGUUGCCAACCCGCGAGGGGGAGCUAAUCCCAGAAAACCGAUCGUAGUCCGGAUUGCACUCUGCAACUCGAGUGCAUGAAGCUGGAAUCGCUAGUAAUCGCGGAUCAGCAUGCCACGGUGAAUACGUUCCCGGGCCUUGUACACACCGC